AUUGAACGCUGGCGGCAGGCCUAACACAUGCAAGUCGAGCGGAAGAAGGGAGCUUGCUCCUGGAUUCAGCGGCGGACGGGUGAGUAAUGCCUAGGAAUCUGCCUGGGAGUGGGGGAUAACGUCCGGAAACGGGCGCUAAUACCGCAUACGUCCUGAGGGAGAAAGUGGGGGAUCUUCGGACCGCACGCUAUCAGAUGAGCCUAGGUCGGAUUAGCUAGUUGGUGGGGUAAAGGCCUACCAAGGCGACGAUCCGUAACUGGUCUGAGAGGAUGAUCAGUGACACUGGAACUGGGACACCGGCCAGACUCCGACGGGAAGCCGCAGUAGGCAAUUUUGGGCGGUAGGCGAAAGGCUGAUUCAGCCAUGCGGCAUGUGUUAAGAAGGUCUUGGGAUUGGAAAGCAGUUGAAGUUGGGAGGAAGGACAGUAUGUUAAGACCUUGCUGUAUUGACGUUACCUAGAGAAUAAGCACCGGCUAACUUCGUG
rnacentral:rRNA from 1 species